UAAGUGGGACAGAGACAAACACCAUGUGAGGCCACUCACGCGUGGACUCAAGGGACUUGUGACAAAGCGGAAACACACUCAGAGGCAUGGAGAACCAAUUUAUGGCCCCCAAAGGGGGCGGGUGGGGGGAGGGGAAAGUGGGAUUAUGGGAUUCGCAGAGGCACACUUACCAUAUACAAAACAGAGAAUCCGCAGGCCCUACUGUGUAGCGAGGAACUGUAGUCAGUGCCUUGCAAUAAACCGUCAUGGAGAAGAACUGAAAAGACGAAUAUAUGUAUGUACACAUAUACAUAUAGUACACCUGAAUUAACUUGCUGUACGCCUGAAGCUAACAUACUGUGAAUCAACUAUGCUUCAAUUAAAAAAUUGAUACAAUAGGAGGUCCCGUUGUGGCUCAGUGGAAACGCAUCUGACUGGUAUCCUUGAGGACCCAGAUUCAAUCCCUGGCCUCGCUCAGUGGGUUAAGGAUCCAGCGAUGCCGUGAGCUGUGGUGUGGGUCGCAGAUGUGGCUCAGAUCUGGUGUGGUUGCUGUGGCUGUGGUGUAGGCCGGCGGCUACAGCUCUGAUUUGACCCCUAGCCUCAGAACCUCCAUAUGCUGCAGUGUGGCCCUAAGAAAAUAAAAAAGACCAAAAGAAAUUAAUACAAUAAAACUUCACAGGCCCACCUACCCCAAGCUGCUGCCAGCUUUUUUUUUUUUUUUUUUCUCUUGCUCUGGUGACUUUAUUUAAGGGCUUGUGACUGACAGCUGUCCCCAGCCCAGCCCUUCCCUUGCCUACAAGAGCAACCCAAACAUGAAACCGGGACGCCCCGCCAGGGGGCCUGUGGGACUGUGGCUUCAGGGAGGGGAGGUGGGUCCGGUUCAGAGGGUCCCACACUGCCCAGGUGGGUGAGGAGGCUGGGAGUCCUGAGGAAGUGGGGGGAUGAUGUGGGUAGGGAGGGGGUGCACAGAGGGAGGUCUCUGCAGACCUCAGCCGCCAGGUAUCUUUCGACAGAUCUGGGGGCUCGGCUCUGCAGGUGUCCCCAGGUGGCGCCAGGGCCGCAGGGUCACCUUGUUUAUGGCCCUGCAGCCCUGCGUCCUCGUCGUCCUUGAUGAGCAGACCUCCGCCGUAAGGGGGCGGCCUCGUGGCCCCUCUCCCUGGGAACUCGAGCCCCCUCUGCCCCUGGUCUCAGGGGAAGGCGAGGAGCCGUGUUCGCUGUGAACAGGGCCCUGCCUCUGUCCUGGUGCCCAUCGUCCGCGUCGUGCACAGUCACAGUGGAUGCCCCGAGGGCUGGUCCAACAGAGGCCAACCUGCGAUCGCAAAAGCGUGGAAAAGCAUCACCCUCUGACCACCCGGGCUAAACCCCUUCUCAAACAGGCCCCAAAGGGCUCCCAGAAAGCAGGCACCCUUGUACGAAUCAAGUGCCAAAAUGCCCCUUGUGUCUUCUGGUCCCUCUUCUCUUAGCUGGGCCCCUGCGUUGGUCGUGUGCUCUUCAGCAGGGCAGCGUGAAACACACGCGGGGGGUUGUUCCCGUCGAGGCUCCUGCGGCCAUGACGUCACUCGCCGUUGCAGCGCAGCCUUCCUGCUUUUAUGGGAACCGCACUGCGAAUUGCCGUCGGCUGGGGGCAGCGCGUGGAAGGUGGGUCUGACUCACGGUGGACACACCUGCCUCCGGACCAGUGAGAUUCAAAGAGUAGAGCUCUCUUGAACCCCAAGUCUUCCUGUGUGUGGGCAACAAUGCUGGCGUCUCAUACAAAGCUGAACCUCAGGACUGGGCGUCACUCCCUGCAGUGGCCACCGAACAGGGAGGUUUCAUGGGCACUGACAGGACAAGGCAGGAAACGAAAUGCCACAGUCCACUGUCCCCGGGCCCUGGCAGGCUCUGGAUCCUUCCAGAAGGUGGGCUCUUUCGUGUCGUGCGCGGUUGCUCUGCUUGGAGGUGGGGGCCCUGCCUGAGGGUGUGGGUCUCCUUUCCCGGUCCCCCGCCCAGGAGGCAGUGGUAUUGCCCCCCCCACUUCGCCACUGCCCCAGAAGCCAGGGUAGCUGCCGUGGUCAAGGGAGGUGGCCACCUGUGUCGGCCACUAGUCCCCAGUUGUUCAUUUUGGUAAAAAAUGGGGGCUGGACUCAGUCUCAGUGCAUGACAUUUUGGGCAAAGUUUGAAAUGGGGGUUCUGAGGGGCUGUGACGGUUUUCUUGCUCAUGUCAUUUUCCCUGCUCACUGGUCUGCCCUUCUUCUUGGGCCUGUUACCUGUUCUGUCCCAGAGGCUGAGGCCGAGGGCUCCAGGGUGCUGGAUGGUGUAAUCACGGCGGGAGGAGGUGUGGCUGGAGCUGCCGCAGGGAAGGGAACCAGCAGGCACCUGUCGGGUGACAGUGGUGACGGGUCGCUGGGAGGAUGGACGGCCUCCCCGGAUGUCGUGUGGGCUUUGUCCCUCUCCCUCCUUUCCGGUAACAGAUGGAGGGGACAGUCUCUUAGCCCUGCCCCCAAGGAUGUGUGGUUCUGUACCUGGGGCAGGGGUUACACCUUCCUCUGGAGAAUAGCACUGGAAUUAGACCAGAUGAAUAAGCUUGACUGCUCUUCGGCAGUUUAACAACUGAACUCUUUGGUGGCAUUUCUAGAACUUAGAGUUUCCGCGUAUUUAGGAAAAGGUCCUUCUUAUUAACAUGGAUUUUUAUUGUUCUUGUUGGAAGCUACUCAUCAAACACCUCUCACCCACGCUCCUGCUCUUUCCCUCUGGCAGGUGCAUAGUUCAAGUCCCUUAAACACAUGCUGCUACUUACCUGCCACCCCAGGCGGAGGCUUUUCAAAGAGGCUUUUCACUGAUUCCCAGUCAGCCCGUACAGUGGAGUGGUUUAGAGGCGAGAUGCUGGGCUCACCUCCACUGCUUCCCAUCCUGACCUGUGGCCUGGGCAGGCUCUUCUGAGGACUUGUAAAGUGAGACUGGAGCGGCUCCAAGCCCUAUGGCGAGGAUCAAGUGAAGGAACACAUGCAGGGCACUCAGGCCAGGGUCCCUCGUGGGGAGAGCUUAGUAGUAAAUCCUGAAUGUCGCCAUGUGGGCCCAAAGUCCCCCACCACGCAUAUUCUCUACACUGUGUUUGAAAACUCAAAAAACUGGAGAGGAACCAAACAGGAGUUAAAAUGACCGUUACCAGUGAGGGCAGACAAGGUGUGGACCUGCCCCGGAGAACAGCCCGAAGAGCUGCAGGAGGAAUCCGAAAAUUCCGCUUGAAAGCACAGGAGAACUGUCAGGUUCCAGGGGAGGAGAGAGCUGCGGAAAGACGGUCUGUUGUCUGGGGCAGAUGUGACCCUGGGGGCAUCUGUACUUUCUGAAAGUAGUGUCUCAGUGGCCGGGAAACUGAGCAAGUUUUCAACAGCGUCUGGAGGCUGGGAAGCAAAAACUCGAGUCAGAUUUUGAAAGUGAAAGGCUGCACACUGUGAUCUCUAGGACAAGGAGUUGUAGGAGAGCAUGAAACUACGGAGCUAAUAGAGAUAACGGUGGGAAGAGUGAAGAUAUCCCGUGACUCGAGGAGAUGGCGGGAAAGACACGCAAGGACACGGAAAAGGUGGGACGGAUGGAAAGCGAACCACAGGACAGAGCGUUCAUCCCACACAGAUCUGCAGCCCCAAGGCUUUGCGUGGAGACCUCGACAGUUGACAACUCAAACGAAGGACAAACCAGAAGCAGCGGAGCUCACAAAGACCAGCUUUAAACCGCCUCAGCCUCUGACUAGAGGACAGGAUGAUGCACUACCCGGGAGAGGAAAGGGCAUCCUCACCAAAGCAAAGUCUGUCAUUAAAAUCCUCACCUUAUCUCUGCCAUUCUUCAGGUGCAGAAUUUUACAUUUC
rnacentral:lncRNA from 1 species